GCGGUCGCACACCGGACGAGACGCGCCGCGUCGCGUCGCGCCACAUGUAGGACAACUCGAGGUAUCGCACACUGGACGCGCACAUUCUAUAUGCGUGAGCUCAAUUUCGCAGCAAGAUGGGAGAGUUUUAACUUCAUCUAUUAUUUUAAUUUUAAAUAUAUGAUUCUAAUUGAUAAAAGCUGAGUUUUUAACGUUAAUUAAUGAAAAGAAUCUGUGUUGUUAUAAUAAGUCUUUUAUUGUUUUGUUGCAUCUGUUGUCUAGGCAACUGUGCUGCUGAAAACGUAACCAGACACUUUGUAAUGUUUUAUUUAAAUGAAACAAGUGUGCUGUACUUUAAUUUCAGUUUCAGUUUAUAACAUCUGGGUUUUUUAAUAUAAAACUAUGCGGAUGGCGCUCUGUGGCGCGGCAGAAAUUUGAACAGCGUUCUGAGUCGUAGCUGGGCGCCGCGGACAGACGCCGAAUGGCGCCGCCGGUGUGUGUACACCCAUAGAGAAUAAUGUGUUCGAAUUUUAAAGACGUGGCGCGACGCGACGCGGCGCUGCGCUUCUCGUCCGGUGUGCGACCCCCUUAACGCGUUAAAAAAAAUAACGCAAUUAACGCGGUUGCAGUUUUUUUUUUUUUUUUUCCAGUUGUGGCCUAUGUGUGUUCAACGUGCAAAGAAAUAUGGAUAAGACCAAGGAAGGACUUUUAGACGGAAAGUUUCAGUAUAAAACUCUGCCGGAUUACUCUUCACACUCUAAAAACGGCUGGGUUAUUUUUUAACCCAAAAUGCUGGGUUGAGUCUGUUGGGUCAUUUUGUUGGGUUAUUUAAUUUCUUUUUAAACACUUUUGGGUAGUUUAAAUUUACCAGGUGUUGGGUUAAACCUGCUGGGUUGCGUCGCUGGGUUGUUUCAGGCCAGCGCUGGGUUAUUUAACGCGCCUUGAAGAUGUUUAAAUCGCUCCCCAACUGUCACUUUGGAAGAACAACGGGGCAAAGCCACGGCUUUCAACUGUUUUAAGGUAAGUUUAUUUAAUGUUUUCAAUAAUAAUUAUUUUAAAUUGGCAGAAUUAUAACUUUUUUUUGCAGCAACAAUACUGUUAAACGUCUACAGGCCAACAUUAUUUACGUUAAAUGAUGAACAGUUUACCUCAAACGGCCAACCUACCUUACGCGACUCGCAUAAUCGUGUUAAGGUAACGUUAUCUGAGACGACAGAUUAAUAAAGUUUUAUUAGGUUUCAGAAAGUGACUGAUGGCUGAAAUAUGCGAAUACCUGUGAAAAUAGAGGAAAAAGUAGUUUCUGACACUGAAAAGCGAAUUUGAUAUUUAAGUGAGUCAAAUGAGUUCAAAAAGUGAAUACGACUUUCUGCUCUAAUGUAAACGCCUGCAGUUGUCCAUAUCGACAUUUAAAUCAUACAAAUUACGUACAAUAUAGUCGGACCGCAGGUCUAAAAGAACCGACGACCCAGUUCAAGUAAACCGGUUCAGUAAUUCUCGAACAAAGUGAUUCCCGGAAAAGAAUCGACUUCUCAGGGCAUUUCAAAGUACGCGCACGCACAGCGAGUGACGCUGGCCGCGUUAGUGAAGUGAUUUGAUGCUUUUGUGGUUUAUAAAGUCUUUUUACAUACAAAUUAUAAUUCAAAAUGUGUUUUUUUUCCUGUCAGAAAAGCGCAUGGAUACAUUUGUGAGAGAAAAACUGGUCGAGUGCAGUCUUAUUGAGGCGUCUAACGGUUGGAACAAACAUGAAAUUCCUUAACUGAGCAGAGUCCACAAAACCCCAUCCAGUUGUCGUGGCGAUUUAAAAAUGCCAGCAGAUCUCUCAGGCAUUGAUCAUAAUCAAUGGACAGGUCACCGUAGCCACCCGUAUCCAGUACGUAUCCAGACCAGAUGGAGAUCAUCAUCUAGAAAGGACCUCUACAUCCCUGAAAGACAGCGGAGACCAGGACAACUAGAGCCCCAGAUACAGAUCCCCUGUAAAGACCUUGUCUCAGAGGAGCACCAGGACAAGACCACAGGAAACAGAUGAUUCUUCUGCACAAUCUGACUUUGCUGCAGCCUGGAAUUGAACUACUGGUUUCGUCUGGUCAGAGGAGAACUGGCCCCCCAACUGAGCCUGGUUUCUCCCAAGGUUUUUUUCUCCAUUCUGUCAACGAUGGAGUUUUUGUUCCUUGUUUUUCUUUAGUUGGGGACAAUUAAUAUCAAGCGAUAUCAUCCACUUGAUUGCACAGAGGGACGAUACAUCACUGAAUCAAUGAUAAACUGACUUCAACUGAAAACUGAGUGUUUACUUUUGUCCCUUUGCAUUAUUACACACUAUUUUCCUAUUCAAUACUGUAAAGCUGCUAUGAUGCAGUAUUUGAUCGAUAUGACAGGCUUAUUACUCAUAAUACAUGGAAAAUACAGCUACAAACUGACUUUGUUUUUCCAUUUGAAAUUUGGCAGUCACUAAACUGAAACCGUAAUUUUUGUUCAGUGUUUUUGAAACAGUGUUUUUGAAACAGUGUUUUUGUUCAAGAUUUGCAAUUGUGUUUGGAUUGUCACAAUCCAAAUGUGGAAAACGCAAUUGAAAAUAUAAUUAGCAAUUCCUUUUGAAAAUUGUCCUUCCAUAGACAGGCUCUAUAAUGGAGUACACUGCUCUGAGGUGUAGAUCUUUGCUUCAGAGCUUAAGUGUUUGACAAUAGUUCACCCAAAAAUGAAAAUUGUCACUAAUUAUUCACCCUGGUCUGAAAGCUCUCGAAUAUCAACGAAAAUAUCUUAACUUGUGUUCUGAAGAUGAACGAAGGGCUUAUGGGUUUGUAACGACAUGAAGUUGAGUAAUAAAUGACAGAAUUUUCAUUUUUGUGUGAACUUAUAUGUUGAACUACCCUAAGCAGUGCACAUCUACCUACGUAGGAGUCUUUAUAUACUUGAUAUAAAUUUAAGGACAUCUUUAAAUGAUUUUACAUUUAAAUUUAAAAAUGUUAAUUGUCAAUGACAUUUCACUGUGUAUUUAAAUAGCUAAAAAUCUCAAAAUGUAAUAGUUAAACAGCUAGACACAGGUCAUUCAGAAAUAAUUUUCUUAUUUAUUGCAACUGUAUUUCUGUGAUUUUUAUUUAUUUAUUUUGCAUUUGCUGGAAACAAAAAAAGGGAAAAUUCCAUGUUGUUUGUCAUUGGUAAAAUUUUUUUGAAUGUCAGAUGGCAUUAAAAAUAUUUUUUAACAGUCUAAAUAACCUGUAUUCUUCAUUAUUUAUUAAUCCAUGAUUGCUUUGUUAAGCAAAAGUGAAAUUAUGAGAAUAACCCAGCAAGAAUAACCCAGAAUCAUAAAAAUGCAAACCCACAAAUGGUAAAAAUGACUCUAUCUUGGGUUUUCUCAAUAACCCAGCAUGCUGGGUUAAAAUGUGUAAACCAGCAUGCUGGGUUACUUUAACCCAGCAUGUGUUCUGUCCAAUAUUUACCCAGUGCUGGGUUGCCAAUUGGGUUAUUUUUAACCCAGCCAUUUUUAGACUGCAGUCUGCCACAAGAAACAGCAACAUUAAAAUCAUGAACUCAAAUGUCAUUGUUUAAAAAAAAAAAAAACAAUGACUGUAACAGUACGUAAAUCAGACCUUUCUGUAACGCUAACGUUAAUAAGCUUAAACGAAAAUAACGAAAUAAUUGUGUAGCGGAGUAUUUUUUGUACACAGUGCCGCGAACUGUCAAUCACUCCUGUGCGCGUGCAUCACUGUCCUCGCAGCUGCAGCAACUUGCGCUCUCUCUCUUCAUCAAGCUUUAAAACAAAAAGGGGACAAAAAGAUCAUAUUGUCUUUGUGCAUAGGCUAUAGAUUAAUUAGAUAAAUGAAUAUCUAAAUUUGUGCCUUGCCGUCUACGGUAUUUUUUUAGAACUUAGAAAAAAGAUGCUGCAGCCAAUGAACAGCCAGCGGGGGCUGCAGGACGACUCAACCUCCGCAGACAGUUUUUAAUGUUUAUCAGACAAUAAAUACUCAAGAUUUUGCUUUAGUAUAACUCACAACGAGUUUCACACACCUUCUCCGGCCACGUUGAGUUGUUGACACACAGUGGGAAAAGCGACACAUGCGCUAUUCACUUGUAUAACUUAAGGGUGAAUGGGUAAUGUAGUUUCUGCACUGGGUGGGAUGAAUUUAGGAAGCUUGCAUUGUGAAGGGCGCUCUGAAAAUCGGCAGUGCAGGUAAAAGAUUAAAACCUCUAUUAAAACAGAUGUCCAAAUGAGCGUACCGGUACGCUACAAGCACGUUCUGGGCGCACGGAGAGGUGGCUGUACCCUCAAGAGCUAUAUUUGGAAGUGGCGGUACUGAGUACCAGUGCAUACCGGCCCACUUAAAGCACUGGCAAUGACUAUACUUUGGAAUUUUUUUGCAGUCCACUUAGAAUUAAACAUGGAAAUCAUUUUUGUUUUUUAUUGGCAUUGAUUGUUUUGAAAUUCAAAUGGUACUUACAUGCCUGUGUUUUUAUUUCUGUAAUAAAUAUGGCUUUCAAGCCAACAGUUAAUUUGGAGGAUAUUGAUGGUUUAUUGCAGGUAUGUUGUUUACAUGAGAAAAUCUGUGUUACAAGU